rnacentral:rRNA from 1 species
ACGAACGCUGGCGGCGUGCUUAACACAUGCAAGUCGAACGGAAAGGCCCUGCUUUUGUGGGGUGCUCGUGUGGCGAACGGGUGAGUAACACGUGAGUAACCUGCCCUUGACUUUGGGAUAACUUCAGGAAACUGGGGCUAAUACCGGAUAGGAGCUCCUGCUGCAUGGUGGGGGUUGGAAAGUUUCGGCGGUUGGGGAUGGACUCGCGGCUUAUCAGCUUGUUGGUGGGGUAGUGGCUUACCAAGGCUUUGACGGGUAGCCGGCCUGAGAGGGUGACCGGCCACAUUGGGACUGAGAUACGGCCCAGACUCCUACGGGAGGCAGCAGUGGGGAAUAUUGCACAAUGGGCGGAAGCCUGAUGCAGCAACGCCGCGUGCGGGAUGACGGCCUUCGGGUUGUAAACCGCUUUCGCCUGUGACGAAGCGUGAGUGACGGUAAUGGGUAAAGAAGCACCGGCUAACUACGUG